rnacentral:tRNA from 1 species
GGCCGGGUACGCAAACGGAAAAGCGGCGAGGUCGAGAGCCUCGUGAUUCUGUGAGUUCGACUCUCACUCCGGUCA